rnacentral:rRNA from 1 species
UACGUAGGCAGCAAGCGUUGUUCGGAGUUACUGGGCGUAAAGGGUGUGUAGGCGGUUGUUUAAGUUUGGUGUGAAAUCUCCCGGCUCAACCGGGAGGGUGCGCCGAAUACUGAAUAACUAGAGUGCGGGAGAGGAAAGUGGAAUUCCUGGUGUAGCGGUGAAAUGCGUAGAUAUCAGGAGGAACACCGGUGGUGUAGACGGCUUUCUGGACCGUAACUGACGCUGAGACACGAAAGCGUGGGCAGCAAACAGG